AUUGAACGCUGGCGGCAGGCCUAACACAUGCAAGUCGAACGAGUGGCAGACGGGUGAGUAAUGUCUGGGAAACGGCCUGCUGGAGGGGGAUAACGGAUGGAAACGGGAGCUAAUACCGCAUACUAUAAUUUGUGCCCAGAUGGGAUUAGCUAGGUGGUGGGGUAACGGCUCACCAAGGCGAGGAUCCCUAGCUGGUCUGAGAGGAUGACCAGCCACACUGGAACUGAGACACGGUCCAGACUCCUACGGGAGGCAGCAGUGGGGAAUAUUGCACAAUGGGCGCAAGCCUGAUGGAGCCAUGCCGCGUGUAUGAAGAAGGCCUUCGGGUUGUAAAGUACUUUCAGCGGGGAGGCGUUACCCGCAGAAGAAGCACCGGCUAACUCCGUGCCAGCAGCCGCGGUAAUUC
rnacentral:rRNA from 1 species